GAAGAGAGAUUAUGACCUUUUUGGCAUUGAUGAACACUCUGAAUCCUUUCUUGUUGGAGAAUUUCAAGUUUUAGUUACUAGUAUGAUCGAACUCCCAAUUAUUAAUUCAUCUUCACUUGGUAUGUUCAUUGUUCUACUGAUGCAAAAAUGUCAGCAUGUGCAUAUGAGGUAUGCUGAGUGA